rnacentral:rRNA from 1 species
UACAUGGGGUGCAAGCGUUGCUCGGAUUUAUUGGGCGUAAAGCGCGCGUAGGCGGUUACUCAAGUCGGAUGUGAAAGCCCUCGGCUUAACUGAGGAAGUGCACCCGAAACUGAGUAGCUAGAGUACCAAAGAGGGUCGCGGAAUUCCCGGUGUAGAGGUGAAAUUCGUAGAUAUCGGGAGGAACACCGGUGGCGAAGGCGGCGACCUGGGUGGAUACUGACGCUGAGGCGCGAAAGCGUGGGGAGCAAACAGG